UUACUAGAAGCCAAAAUAGAGGCCUAUCAUUGUUAAUGAUAUCAUUGAAGUUAUAUAUUCCUAGUAAG
rnacentral:tRNA from 1 species